ACAUACAUGUGUUACUUACUAUA
rnacentral:siRNA from 1 species